GACGAACCGUGCAAACGUUGUUCGGAAUCACUGGGCUUAAAGGGCGCGUAGGCGGCUUGUCAAGUCAGGGGUGAAAUCCUGCAGCUCAACUGUAGAAGUGCCUUUGAUACUGACGAGCUCGAGGGAGGUAGGGGUGGGUGGAACUUCUGGUGGAGCGGUGAAAUGCGUUGAUAUCAGAAGGAACGCCGGUGGCGAAAGCGACCCACUGGACCUCUUCUAACGCUGAGGCGCGAAAGCCAGGGGAGCAAACGGG
rnacentral:rRNA from 1 species